CAUUCAGUUCGCAUUGCAUGUGGGAGAUAAAAGGGUGAAAAGCCCAGUGCAUUCCACAAUAGCUGACCAAGCCUCCAAACAAGACUACGCAUAAAGGAGACUAACUAAUCCCGUAACACACAGAUACAGAGAUGUCAAGGAAUAUGAUAAUAAUCUAUCUCGUCUUAGCGUGUCUAGCAUGCGGGAUAAUGUCACAGGAAGCGGAACCUGAAUUCACCCCCGGGCUACUGAAGGACGCAAAGGAGGCAUACAGGUUUGCGGUGGCGAGAGUGCAGAGUGCUACACAGACAGUGAAAAACUUCGCUGAGAAGAGCUACUACGACCACAUCAAACCCAUCAUUGAACCCCACCUCGACAGGGCCAACUCUAUGUGGAACAAGAUCGCGGUCGAACUGGACGAAUACUGGGGCGAAUACUGGGCUGACUAUACAUCUGAGUUUACGAAAAUAAUCUCUAAACUAUUUCCAAUGCCUCAUGUUGGUCAUGCCGGUUAAUUCGGUUAAUGCUUUCCGAAGUGCCAAAUUGCUUCAACAAAGCAGCUGUCGCUAACACAAGCAUUUACAAAUGCCAGACUACAGGCCGAUGCUAAAAAAAUUCAAGAAAAUUGAAAUAAAUAACUGGUGCCAUUGCAUAUUAGCCUACACUGCGAGACGUCUUGUUAAAGCCCUCGACAAAAGAUACGCUGUGCCAUCACGAAAAUAAUAAUUUUCCCAAACUGCGGUGCCCGACAUGUCGUGAGAAGGUUGCUGAACUAAAAACUGUUUUGCAGCCACGUCUGAUCUCUGGAGCCAUAAUUGAGCUUGACGUUGCACUACAUUGCCGAUGAAUGGAACCUGCGCCACAGGUGCAUUGAGACGGCAUAUUUUCCAGAUGAUCACACGUCAGAAAUUAUUGCACAGGGCCUGAGAAAUGUGCUUUUUCAGGAAAAUGUUUUCAUUUCAAGCAUGUGCGCUUUGAUUUCAACUGUUCAAAAUAUUCAAUAAAGAGCCAUAAAUAGUUAA